rnacentral:rRNA from 1 species
GAUCCUGGCUCAGGAUGAACGCUGACAGAAUGCUUAACACAUGCAAGUCUUUGGCGAAUCUGUGCUUGCGCAGGCUAGCCAAGGCGGACGGGUGAGUAACGCGUAAAGAACUUGCCCUGCAGACAGGGAUAACAGACGGAAACGACUGACAACACCUGAUACAGUUGCCGGCACGCAUGUGCCUGGCAAUGAAAAGAGAUGCUGCGGGAGAGCUUUG